AACGACCGCUGGCGGCAGCCUUAACACAUGCAAGUCGAGCGCCCCGCAAGGGGAGCGGCAGACGGGAGAGUAACGCGGGGGAAUCUACCCAUCUCUACGGAAUAACGCAUGAAAACGGGGUCUAAUACCCUAUACGUCCUCCGGGUGAAAGAUUUAUCGGAGAUGGAUGAGCCCGCGUUGGAUUAGCUAGUUGGUGGGGUAAAGGCCUACCAAGGCGACGAUCCAUAGCUGGUUUGAGAGGAUGAUCAGCCAGACUGGGACUGAGACACGGCCCAAACUCCUACGGGGGGAAGCAGUGGGGAAUAUUGGACAAUGGGCGCAAGCCUGAUCCAGACAUGCCGCGUGAGUGAUGAAGGCCCUAGGGUUUUAAAGCCCUUUCACCGGUGAAGAUAAUGACGGUAACCGGAGAAGAAGCCCCGGCUAACUUCGUGCCAGCCGCCGCAGUAAAAC
rnacentral:rRNA from 1 species